UGGGGAAUAUUGGACAAUGGGCGCAAGCCUGAUCCAGCCAUGCCGCGUGAGUGAUGAAGGCCCUAGGGUUGUAAAGCUCUUUCACCGGGGAAGAUAAUGACGGUAACCGGAGAAGAAGCCCCGGCUAACUUCGUGCCAGCAGCCGCGGUAAUACGAAGGGGGCUAGCGUUGUUCGGAUUUACUGGGCGUAAAGCGCACGUAGGCGGACUAUUAAGUCAGGGGUGAAAUCCCGGGGCUCAACCCCGGAACUGCCUUUGAUACUGGUAGUCUUGAGUUCGAGAGAGGUGAGUGGAAUUCCGAGUGUAGAGGUGAAAUUCGUAGAUAUUCGGAGGAACACCAGUGGCGAAGGCGGCUCACUGGCUCGAUACUGACGCUGAGGUGCGAAAGCGUGGGGAGCAAACAGG
rnacentral:rRNA from 1 species